AUGAAUACUAGGCGUGAGGAGGUUUUUGUACAGCCUCUCAAUGAGCUUGUACCACUGUGGUACACGAUUGGUAGCGGCACCAGACUGGAUGUUGUUGGCACCACCAGGCAGCCCAGUGUGACGGUGCUGCCUCCCUCCAGAGAGGAGCUGUCCAGUGGGGGCUCUGCCACACUGCUGUGCCUGGCUGACAAGGGCUUCCCCUCAGACUGGAGCCUGAGCUGGAAGGUGGAUGGCAGCAGUAGGAGUGGAGUGGCCAGUGCUGGGCUCAUGAAGGACGGUGUGUACAGCUGGAGCAGCAGCCUGACCCUCACUGAUGCUGAGUGGAGAGGAGCCACCUCAGUGGUGUGUGAGGCCAGCCAGGGAUCCCAGAGAGCCGUCAGCAAAGCCCUGAGCAGAGCUGACUGCUCCCAGUAGCCUCCAGCCUCCAUGCUCUCUGCUCUGCUCUGAUCUGCUCUGAUCUCUGCUGACUCCUCUGCUCUCCAGCUUACAGCUUCCCUUCCAGCUUCAUAGAUACACCAACAACAACUCGUCUGCUUCUGAUGAUUUCUGAUGUUUUAAUUGGAAGGAUGUUUUUAUGUGUGA